GACGAACGCUGGCGGCGUGCUUAACACAUGCAAGUCGAACGGAAAGGCCCUGCUUUUGUGGGGUGCUCGAGUGGCGAACGGGUGAGUAACACGUGAGUAACCUGCCCUUGACUUUGGGAUAACUUCAGGAAACUGGGGCUAAUACCGGAUAGGAGCUCUUGCUGCAUGGUGGGGGUUGGAAAGUUUCGGCGGUUGGGGAUGGACUCGAGGCUUAUCAGCUUGAUGGUGGGGUAGUGGCUUACCAAGGCUUUGACGGGUAGGCGGCCUGAGAGGGUGACCGGCCACAUUGGGACUGAGAUACGACCCAGACGCCUACGGGAGGCAGCAGUGGGGAAUAUUGCGCAGUGGGCGGAAGCCUGAUGCAGCGACCCCGCGUGCGGGAUGACGGCCUUCGAGUUGUAAACCGCUUUCGCCUGUGACGAAGCGUUAGUGACGGUAAUUGGUAAAGAAGCACCGGCUAACUACGUG
rnacentral:rRNA from 1 species